rnacentral:ncRNA from 1 species
GGACCCGGUCCCGCUCGACGCCAGAGAAGAAAGAAACCGGGAAAGAACCAACCCCGUCCCUUCCCAAACCUCCGGCGGUCACCCUCAGGGGUGAACUUCCUCAACUCCGCUGGCGCGCACGGGAUUCGGUGGUGCAGCCUCAGCCUCACCACGCCGAGCAUGAAACGGCCCCCGCCGGGACGGCAAUCCCGGAGCGAGGGCCUGAUCACCAGAGAAGGAAAGCCCCUUCCCG